rnacentral:rRNA from 1 species
AUUGAACGCUGGCGGCAGGCCUAACACAUGCAAGUCGAGCGAGCGGCGGACGGGUUAGUAAUGUAUGGGGAUCUGCCCGAUAGAGGGGGAUAACUACUGGACACGGUGGCUAAUACCGCAUACUAUCGCAUGGACCCAUUUGGGAUUUGCUAGUAGGUGGGGUAAAGGCGCACCUAGGCGACGAUCUGUAGCUGGUCUGAGAGGAUGACCAGCCACACUGGAACUGAGACACGGCCCAGACUCCUACGGGAGGCAGCAGUGGGGAAUAUUGGACAAUGGGCGAAAGCCUGAUGCAGCCAUGCCGCGUGUGUGAAGAAGGCCUUAGGAUUGUAAAGUACUUUCAGCUGGGAGGCGUUACCCGCAGAAGAAGCACCGGCUAACUCCGUGCCAGCAGCCGCGGUAAUAC